rnacentral:rRNA from 1 species
AAAUUGAAGAGUUUGAUCAUGGCUCAGAUUGAACGCUGGCGGCAGGCCUAACACAUGCAAGUCGAACGGUAACAGGAAGCAGCUUGCUGUUUCGCUGACGAGUGGCGGACGGGUGAGUAAUGUCUGGGAAACUGCCUGAUGGAGGGGGAUAACUACUGGAAACGGUAGCUAAUACCGCAUAACGUCGCAAGACCAAAGAGGGGGACCUUCGGGCCUCUU